rnacentral:misc_RNA from 1 species
GAGAAGCGAGGUGUGAUAGAGAGAUGUCUAGAGAAAAAGACAUAGGUGGUCAUGAUCGUGACUGGUCAGAGAGAAGGCAUCGUGAUGAAAGGGAAGUUGGUAGAGAAAGGGAGAGGGAGCGUGAAAGGGAUAGGGAACAUUCUCGAGAUCAUGAGCGUGAGCGAGAAAGGGAUCGCAAUUGGGACUGGGAUCGUGAUCGUUAUAGGGAAGACCGGGAUAGAUAUGCUGAUCAUCAUAGGUACAGGGAUCGUGAAGUGGAGCAAGAUGAUGAUUGGGACAGGGGUAGGUCUUCACGGACUCACUGCAAAUCAAGAAUAUCACAAGAGGAGGACCAUCGUUCAAGAUCAAGGGAUUCUGAUUAUGGGAAGAGACGAAG